rnacentral:rRNA from 1 species
CAGCACCUCAAGUGGUCAGGAUGAUUAUUGGGCCUAAAGCAUCCGUAGCCGGCUCUGUAAGUUUUCGGUUAAAUCUUUACGCUCAACGUACAGGCUGCCGGGAAUACUGCAGAGCUAGGGAGUGGGAGAGGUAGACGGUACUCGGUAGGAAGGGGUAAAAUCCUUUGAUCUAUUGAUGACCACCUGUGGCGAAGGCGGUCUACCAGAACACGUCCGACGGUGAGGGAUGAAAGCUGGGGGAGCAAACCGGAUUAGAUACCCGAGUAGUCC